ACUUUGGAGCUGAAGAGCUGGUAUGAAUGCAUGAUCACAGAGUGACAACAGGCCUUCAAUAAAAUCACAUACUGUCCCCAGUACCAGCUGCUCUAGUUAACUUUCAGGGCUCUUUUCAAGAACCGGAUGAGAUGGCUGUGUGAAUGCCUUGGAAACAUGAGCUACACAUGAGUUAUACAAUUUAUACAAGAGGUGAAAUAAUUCAAUCUUCUUAAGCUGAAAUACAUUUGGAAACCCACUUCCAAACCGAAGGCUCUAAUUUCUCAAAGGAAUUCAGUGAUUCCCUGUAUGCUGAAAUUAGAAAAAAAAUAUGGAUUAUAAACACAAGACAUGUUGAGGAUACAAUUGGAAGAGGUUCUCCUUAUGUGUUUCCCUCUGUCAA
rnacentral:lncRNA from 1 species